rnacentral:tRNA from 1 species
UCUAAUAUGGCAGAAUAGUGCAAUGAGCUUAAGCUUCAUAAAUAAAGAUCUUUCUUUUAUUAGAA